CGGUAAAAGCUCAAAUUUGAAAUCUGGCCCUCGGGUCCGAAUUGUAAUUUGUAGAGGAUGCUUUUGGUGAGGUACCUUCCGAGUUCCCUGGAACGGGACGUCAUAGAGGGUGAGAAUCCCGUAUGUGACUGGAUACCUAUGCUCAUGUGAAGCUCUUUCGAC
rnacentral:rRNA from 1 species